rnacentral:rRNA from 1 species
AUUGAACGCUGGCGGCAGGCCUAACACAUGCAAGUCGAGCGGAUGAAGAGAGCUUGCUCUCUGAUUUAGCGGCGGACGGGUGAGUAAUGCCUAGGAAUCUGCCUGGUAGUGGGAGAUAACGUUCCGAAAGGAACGCUAAUACCGCGUACGUCCUACGGGAGAAAGCAGGGGACUUUCGGGCCUUGCGCUAUCAGAUGAGCCUAGGUCGGAUUAGCUAGUUGGUGAGGUAAUGGCUCACCAAGGCGACGAUCCGUAACUGGUCUGAGGGGAUGAUCAGUCACACUGAACUGAGACACGGUCCAGACUCCUACGGGAGGCAGCAGUGGGGAAUAUUGGACAAUGGGCGAAAGCCUGAUCCAGCCAUGCCGCGUGUGUGAAGAAGGUCUUCGGAUUGUAAAGCACUUUAAGUUGGGAGGAAGGGCGUUUGGCUAAUAUCCAGGCGUUUUGACGUUACCAACAGAAUAAGCACCGGCUAACUUCGUGCCAGCCGCCGCAGUAAUAC